CUUUUUAGGGCCGCACCUGCAGCACAUGGAAAUUCCCAGGCUAAGGGAUGAAUGGGAGCUGUAGCUGCUGGCCUAUGCCACAGCCACAGCAACACGGGAUCCGAGCCACGUCUGUGACCUACACCACAGCCCAUGGCAAUGCUGGAUCCUUAACCCACUGAGCAAGGCCAGGGAUUGAACCUGAAACCUCAUGGAUCCUAGUUGGGUUUGUUAACUGCUGAGCCAUGAAGGGAAUAUCUCUGAUGAAGGGGUAGUGAUGAUGAGGGUUCUGCCUCCCCAAAGUUCAGAUGGAGAAUCUGCCUGUGGACCUCACCUCAGCCACCUUGGUCCCCGGCCUCGGAUGACUGCUUCUCUCCCAUCUCUUGCUUACUGCUGCUUUAUCCAGAUUGCCAUCAUCCCGCUCUCCAAACCCUGGGGGAGAUCUUGGGCUCUGGCUUGGAAGGUUCCAGUUCUGAUUCUUUGUCUUCCAGAAUCUGAGUCCCUGGCCAAAAGAAUCCUGUCCUAGGUCCCCUGCAUCUGUGGGGUCUGUCUUCAGCUUGGCAUCUCCACACUGCCGCUGGUUUCCACAUUGCCCCUCCAGUCAUCUAACCCCUCUGCUGCCACCAGUCUUUCAGGCAACCCCAAGCAUUCUCAGGCUGAUGGGAGGCAGGGAGGAAGGUCAGGGAUGCUCUGCCUCUCCUUGGGAUUCCCAUGAACUCACCAUUCCUUCACUCUUUCAUUCAUUCAGCAAACACUGAUUGAGCACAACUAUGCAUCAUGCAUAUGCUUAGGACCGGGGAUGCAGUGGUGACCAAAUUGGGGUCUUACCCUCAAAUGUCUGACAAGCGAAAGAGACCAGUACAGUACAGAUGGCCAGGCCAUCGCAGGGGUAGGUUUCAAGGACCACUGAGCUCCAAGCCUGCUGGUGCAGUAGGAAGACUUCAUAGACAAGGUACAUUUAAGCUGGAUCUUGAAGGUGGUAGUGGCUUGCCAGCUGGCAGGAACAUGGCAUGUGCCAGGCCUGGUGGCCUGGGUGAGAUCAGAAGAGAAAUAUGAAAUGUCACUGGAGAGGAGGGUUUGGGACUGGUAGAGAAGACAACAUAUGUCAUGGGAGGGGUUGAAACUUAACUCUGUCCAUGGGAGACACACUGAACGCCUGAACCAAGGCCGCAGCAACGGGGGUCAAGGGGAAGCUUGGAACUGAGGGAGGUUUCACAAGUUUCACCCUCAGGAUCUAGUGACAUGUUGGAUGGCGGAGGAGGAGAGAGUCUUUUCAGACUCUGAGACAUCCAGCUGGGGCUGCUGAGUGGGUUAUGGGGCCGUUAACCCUAGGAUAGAGACCAGAAGGACAGGAAAGGGGAGAGGGUUGAGAGGAACAGUGAGUUUAGCUGGGGUUCGAUUCAGCUUAAGAUCUUGAAAAAUACCAGUGGAAAUAUCUACAAGUACGUAAAAAUUUAGGACAAGUUAGAAGAGAGAGGAGGGAGCCAGAGACAUAGAUGUGAAAAAUCGGACCCAUAGAAUUAGACUUCAAAGGAAAAUGGGGCUAGAAAGAGAGAUUCGGGAGUCAUCGGCACACUGGUGGCAACUGGAACCAUAAUGCCCCACAAGGUGGGAUGAACUGCCCCCUCCUUUGUACUGGACCUUCCACAUGACUUAUCAGUAGCUCUCCAACAACCUGCAAGGUCAGAAUUUUAUCCUAGAUGAGGAAGUUGAAGCUCAGAGAGGUGAAGAAAUGUGCUCAAACUCACCCAUUGUUGGAGCUGGUGUUUCAAGUUAGAAUCAUGUGACCACAGAGCCGAUAUUCUUUCCUCCACCCUUGCUGUCCCGGGUUAGAGUCCCAGGGGAGGCCACAUAAUGUGAAAAGUGAAAAGAGCCAAGCUCUAAGCAUUUAAGAGGCCAGUGGAAGGGAGAGUGGCUGGCAGGGUUUUGGGGAAAAGGCAGGACUCCAAGAUGGGAAAGGAAAACGUUUAGAGCUUCUGAUGAUGCAGAGAGGUCAGGCCAGAUAGAGUUGGCCAGCAGCCCCAGAUGUGGAAGUCAGUAGAGACCCGGAAGAGGGGUGUUAGAGGGGGCUGGGCCAGACAGCACAAGGGUGAGUGGUGACAGAAGCAGUGGAGACAGAGAGCGGAAGUAAUCCGCCAAGAAGUCCAGGAGACUGAAAGGACAGGAGGCAGCAGGGUCCAGGGGAGUCUGCUACUGCUGUGGGAUGCUGAGGCUUCUACUGUGUCUACAGGAGGAGAAGGAGAGGAUAACUGACAGCACCAGUUCCCUGUAGGGCACAUGGAUGUGGGAUUGGCCUUGGUCCAAAGGAGGGACCUCUCCCAGGAGUGGAGGGAGCGGGCACAGGAGACAGGAAGUUCAUGCCAGAUCACUGUUGGCUUUUCAGUGAAACAGAAGUCGAGAGCUGAAUGGAGAAGCAAGGGGGCUGAGGAUGGCAGAGGGGAAUCCAGAGCUGGGAAAGGCAGCUGUGCAGAAGGAGACAGGACAAAGGCUCAGGAAAGUCUGGAGACUGGCCGUGUGAUGUGGAGAAGUCUGGAACCACACAUCAAUGUUGAUGCCAACUGGCAGGGUGGAGACCUUUGUUUCCUUCAUGGAAGCAGCCAGGGAGCAGGUGGAGAGGAAGCAGGUGGCAAAUUGACUCAGGUGUGGGGGUGGGCAGGGAGGAAGGGCUUGGAGGACACUGGGAUGAGGGGCCAAGGAGGCUGAGCAAGUGGAGGGGCUGGAACAGGGGCGGGCGGCUCGGACCAGGC
ensembl:lncRNA